AUGCAUACUACUUUGCUUCCCUGCCCCUUUUCUCAGCAUUGUCUUAACAGAAGAACUAGAAAAGGAAAUCAGUUCAGAUAUGUACCCCAUGUGAACCUAACAGGAUGCAAGAAGCCAUGUGAGCUGCUCUUUUCAAACCCACAGGAACCCCUCCUCUACCAUGUCCUGAGAACAAAGCCUCCUCCAGUCAUGUUGAUGAGAUGGAUCUUGUUGUACAGCCUUCUAGUAAGGCUGGCUCAGAGCAACAAUCAAGAUUCUGAAAACUCUGCAAACAUCACCACACCUCCUGUAAAAAUUUUAGAUACCUCUACUAAGUCAAAAGAACAUGGAAAAAACAAGACAUGGCACAUUAUUUAUGCUUCAGUACCCGUGGGUCUAUGUUGUCCAUUCAUCUUCAUAUGCGUGUUUUGGAGUCUAAGGAGGUACUAUGGAACUCUUACACAGGUGCCAUGCUCUAAGUCAAGAGGGCAUCCUGGAGUCCCCCACAUCUUAUUAAGUGAAGCAAUCAAUUAUUUGUUGUUUCAUGGGAUGGCUUAA
rnacentral:lncRNA from 1 species